ACUGUGCGGAGCACAGUAACUAGCUAAUUAUUUUCCAUUCUUGCUGCAGAACGUGAAUUGCUCACGUUCUGCAUGCCAAUGAAGAACACAGAAGAGGGGACAGAAAAGGGGAGAAGAUUACUUGGAGUCAGCGGCGAAGGGAGGGGGGGCUGGCAGGGGCCCCGACCCCUGCAAAGAAAUGCCCCUCCCUUGUAAAUAUUUAAUAGAAAUAAAAAUUAAAAUUUGAUCCCUCUAAUUUAUAAUUUGGCCCCCUUAAUUUUUUUGUCUUGCUCCGCCCCUGCCUGGAGUGAUGGAGCAUGGUUGCUGGGCUAACGGUGGCUUGUGAUGGCGGCUAGCUUGUGGUAGCGAUCGGGCGUUGGUUCCAGGCAGUGGUGCUGCUGUUUCAAGUGGUGGAGAGAGAGACCCGAGAAUGAGAGAUCAUGGAGCAGAUUAAGAGUGUUUACUCCCUCGCAUGGAGAUGAAGCUGAACAUUGAAGUCUUAAAAGAUUUAUGAUGCAGUAACACACACAUGCAUUGCGUUUGAAGCAUAUAUUAGAAAGUUCUUUCAAAUACAGGGGAGUGAAUAGCCUUGAGGAAUACUGAAAUCUACCCCACACCCCCUAUAUUCUGUCCUUUCUAGGAUAUGAAAUUUAAGAUCCAUUGGAAGGGCAGCUGAGUAAGAUCAUCUGUGCAUUCUUAGGCAUAUAAUAUGUGUUCCAAAUAUGUUUCAAAUGCAGAUGUUAACUACUAGUUUAACGAAGUUGGAAGCUUGGUAACUUCAAAGAUAUUGUUUAGAACUGAUAAAGGGAAUCAAUAUGAGAAUGUGGUGUUAGUUGGCUUUA